GGUGUGUCCGAGGCAGCAGUGUCAGCAAUGAAUUGGUCACAACCAGUCACAGCUCCCUUUGUUCCUCCUCUACUCCACCGCAUCACUUGACUAGCCUUAA
rnacentral:Y_RNA from 1 species